rnacentral:rRNA from 1 species
AUUGACCCUUCGGGUGAUUUGUUGGGCGUCGAGCGGCGGACGGGUGAGUAAUGCCUGGGAAAUUGCCCUGAUGUGGGGGAUAACCAUUGGAAACGAUGGCUAAUACCGCAUAACGUCUACGGACCAAAGAGGGGGACCUUCGGGCCUCUCGCUUCAGGAUAUGCCCAGGUGGGAUUAGCUAGUUGGUGAGGUAAUGGCUCACCAAGGCGACGAUCCCUAGCUGGUCUGAGAGGAUGAUCAGCCACACUGGAACUGAGACACGGUCCAGACUCCUACGGGAGGCAGCAGUGGGGAAUAUUGCACAAUGGGCGCAAGCCUGAUGCAGCCAUGCCGCGUGUAUGAAGAAGGCCUUCGGGUUGUAAAGUACUUUCAGUCGUGAGGAAGGCAUU